GCGGGCGUGGCGGAAUUGGUAGACGCGCUGGAUUUAGGUUCCAGUGUUGCAAGACGUGGGGGUUCGAGUCCCUUCGCCCGCACCA
rnacentral:tRNA from 1 species